rnacentral:rRNA from 1 species
ACGGGUGAGUAAGACUUGGGUAAUGCGCCUCCUUGCUGGGGAUAACCAGGCGAAAGCUUGGCUAAUACCGAAUAGCCCAGUUGGAGCUUUGGCUCUAAUUGGUAAAGCCGUAAGGCGCGAGGAGAGUAGCCCGAGUCCCAUUAGCUAGUUGGUAGGGUAAUGGCCUACCAAGGCUACGAUGGGUAGCUGGUCUGAGAGGACGAUCAGCCACACUGGUACUGGAACACGGACCAGACUCCUACGGGAGGCAGCAGUUAGGAAUUUUGCGCAAUGGGGGAAACCCUGACGCAGCAACGCCGCGUGAAGGAUGAAGGCUUUCGGGUUGUAAACUUCUUUUCGCAGGGAAGAAAAAAAUGACGGUACCUGCAGAACAAGCACCGGCUAACUCUGUGCCAGCAGCCGCGGUAAUACAGAGGGUGCAAGCGUUAUUCGGAUUUACUGGGCAUAAAGAGCGCGUAGGCGGUUUGAUAAGUCUGAUGUGAAAGCCCUGGACCCAAUCCAGGAAGUGCAUCGGAUACUGUUAGACUUGAGUACAGGAGGGGAGAGCGGAAUUCCAGGUGUAGAGGUGAAAUUCGUAGA